rnacentral:RNase_P_RNA from 1 species
AGGAGACCGCGGACGGCCGACGGUGAUCCUUCGGGAUUGCUGAGGAACGUCCCCCCUCCCCAGGAACGGUGGCCCCGUGCAAGCGGGGGGUCCGAGAGGGCCGGCAAGGGCGCAGAAACGACACAGCCCGCGUCGAGGAUGAUCCGCUCGGCGGUGACGUUGACGUGGGAUCUGGUGAGACGGCGACACCCCACCGGAGCAAGUCCAAGCAGGCGCAAUGCGCCAGGU